UACGGAGGGUGCGAGCGUUGUCCGGAAUCAUUGGGCGUAAAGGGCGCGUAGGUGGCCACUUCAAGCGUGCGGUGAAAGUCGGGGGCUCAACCCCUGAUCGGCCGUGCGAACUGGGGGGCUGGAGCACUGUAGAGGCAGGCGGAAUUCCGGGUGUAGCGGUGGAAUGCGUAGAGAUCCGGAAGAACACCGGUGGCGAGGGCGGCCUGCUGGGCAGUUUUGCUGACACUGAGGCGCGACAGCGUGGGGAGCAAACAGG
rnacentral:rRNA from 1 species